rnacentral:tRNA from 1 species
ACCUGGCUGGCUCAGUGGGUAGAGUUUGUGACUCUUGAUCUCAGAGUUGUGAGUUCAAGCCCCAUGUUGAGUA